GUGAGUGUUUGCCCACACUGCAUGGCCGCAUCCCACAUGGGAACUCCGGUCAAAAGUAGUGGCGCAAUAAGCACAUGGGCUUUUCAGAGCUCUGCAACUUGAUUGGGUAUGUUUUGUUGUUCUGCACGUUUUUGAGAGAGAGAACCACACCUAUAGCAUAUGAGAAAGCGAGAAAAAUAAAGACAAAUACGAGGUGUAAAGAAGGGAGAGAAUCCGGAGAUAGGAGAGGAACAGAAGGAGCGUGCGGUUGAGCUUUGUUGCAAUAGACACACGAGGACGAUUACUAGAAGAGAAUCUGACAGUAUUUCCGGGUCAAGGAGCAGUGCAGCGCUGGUGUACACACGUUUCUACGUGAGUCUUAAAAACGGCUUUUCACGACGAAGUGGUUUUCGUGUCCGAGAAGACAGGAAGAUACAACACGGUGGAAACGGUCUUUAUUGAUCAGGCUCAACGUCUGGCCCUACAGAGGGAGAUAGACAAGGAGUCCCAGUCCACGGUUUCAGUCAGAUCACUGAUGGUCCAGGCCGACACAGGCAACAGGAACGUUACCAUGAAGAAGACGAACAGGAAGAGUGGGAAGGACACCCACGUUGAGGAAGAGAUCUCAGAAAACACUUCCAUAAACCAGGGAAUAGCGAAGGAGUGAAGAAGAAAAAGAAGACGAACGUAGAGACUCUGGUAGAAGAGCAGGUUUCAUCCAAUGGGGAAUGGGGGAAUACGGAAGGAGAGCAGGAGAAACGGAAAGGAAAGAAGAAGAAGUUGUCGUCUGAGACAAACACCAACGGUGAGGAAGUCAUGACUAAUGGAAAUGACGGGGAGGGUGUGUCAGGAGAAGCAGAAAGGUGUUAACACUGUUACAACGGAGCUGGAGACAG